UACGUAGGGGGCAAGCGUUGUCCGGAAUCAUUGGGCGUAAAGAGCGUGUAGGCGGCCCGAUAAGUCCGCUGUGAAAGUCCAGGGCUCAACCCUGGAAUGCCGGUGGAUACUGUCGGGCUCGAAUCCGGAAGAGGUGAGUGGAAUUCCUGGUGUAGCGGUGAAAUGCGCAGAUAUCAGGAGGAACGCCGGUGGCGAAGGCGGGUCUCUGGGCCGAUACUGACGCUGAGGAGCGAAAGCGUGGGGAGCAAACAGG
rnacentral:rRNA from 1 species